rnacentral:rRNA from 1 species
UAGAGUUUGAUCCUUGGCUCAGAUUGAACGCUGGCGGCAGGCCUAACACAUGCAAGUCGAGCGGUAGCACAGAGAGCUUGCUCUCGGGUGACGAGCGGCGGACGGGUGAGUAAUGUCUGGGAAACUGCCUGAUGGAGGGGGAUAACUACUGGAAACGGUAGCUAAUACCGCAUAACGUCGCAAGACCAAGGUGGGGGACCUUCGGGCCUCAUGCCAUCAGAUGUGCCCAGAUGGGAUUAGCUAGUAGGUGGGGUAACGGCUCACCUAGGCGACGAUCCCUAGCUGGUCUGAGAGGAUGACCAGCCACACUGGAACUGAGACACGGUCCAGACUCCUACGGGAGGCAGCAGUGGGGAAUAUUGCACAAUGGGCGCAAGCCUGAUGCAGCCAUGCCGCGUGUGUGAAGAAGGCCUUCGGGUUGUAAAGCACUUUCAGCGGGGAGGAAGGCGUUAAGGUUAAUAACCUUGGCGAUUGACGUUACCCGCAGAAGAAGCACCGGCUAACUCCGUGCCAGCAGCCGCGGUAAUACGGAGGGUGCAAGCGUUAAUCGGAAUUACUGGGCGUAAAGCGCACGCAGGCGGUCUGUCAAGUCGGAUGUGAAAUCCCCGGGCUCAACCUGGGAACUGCAUUCGAAACUGGCAGGCUAGAGUCUUGUAGAGGGGGGGGUAGAAUUCCAGGUGGUAGCGGUGAAUGGCGGUAGAGAUUCUUGGAGGAAAUACGGUGGGGCGCGAAGGCGGCCUCCUGGACAAAGACUGACGCUC